rnacentral:rRNA from 1 species
GACGAACCGUGCGAACGUUAUUCGGAAUCACUGGGCUUAAAGGACGCGUAGGCGGGUCCGUAAGUCAGGGGUGAAAUCCCACGGCCCAACCGUGGAAGUGCCUCUGAUACUGCGGGCCUCGAGGGGGGUAGGGGCGUGCGGAACUCAGGGUGGAGCGGUGAAAUGCGUAGAUAUCGAGAGGAACACCAGUGGCGAAGGCGAGUCCCUGGACGACUCCUGACACUGAGGCACGAAAGCUAGGGGAGCAAACAGG